GGUUAAGCGACUAAGCGUACACGGUGGAUGCCCUGGCAGUCAGAGGCGAUGAAGGACGUGCUAAUCUGCGAAAAGCGCCGGCGAGGUGAUAUGAACCYUUGACCCGGCGAUGUCCGAAUGGGGAAACCCAGUGCAAUYCGUUGCACUAUCGUUAACUGAAUACAUAGGUUAACGAGGCGAACCGGGGGAACUGAAACAUCUAAGUACCCCGAGGAAAAGAAAUCAACCGAGAUUCCCCCAGUAGCGGCGAGCGAACGGGGAGCAGCCCGGAGUCUGAAUCAGCUUGUGUGUUAGUGGAACGGUCUGGAAAGUCCGACGGUACAGGGUGAUAGUCCCGUACACGAAAAUGCACAKGYUGUGAACUCGAAGAGUAGGGCGGGACACGUGGUAUCCUGUCUGAAUAUGGGGGGACCAUCCUCCAAGGCUAAAUACUCCUGACUGACCGAUAGUGAACCAGUACCGUGAGGGAAAGGCGAAAAGAACCCCGGCGAGGGGAGUGAAAAAGAACCUGAAACCGUGUACGUACAAGCAGUGGGAGCCUCUUUAUGGGGUGACUGCGUACCUUUUGUAUAAUGGGUCAGCGACUUAUAUUCUGUAGCAAGGUUAACCGUAUAGGGGAGCCGAAGGGAAACCGAGUCUUAACUGGGCGUUAAGUUGCAGGGUAUAGACCCGAAACCCGGUGAUCUAGCCAUGGGCAGGUUGAAGGUUGGGUAACACUAACUGGAGGACCGAACCGACUAAUGUUGAAAAAUUAGCGGAUGACCUGUGGCUGGGGGUGAAAGGCCAAUCAAACCGGGAGAUAGCUGGUUCUCCCCGAAAGCUAUUUAGGUAGCGCCUCGUGAACUCAUCUUCGGGGGUAGAGCACUGUUUCGGCUAGGGGGCCAUCCCGGCUUACCAACCCGAUGCAAACUACGAAUACCGAAGAAUGUUAUCACGGGAGACACACGGCGGGUGCUAACGUCCGUCGUGAAGAGGGAAACAACCCAGACCGCCAGCUAAGGUCCCAAAGUCAUGGUUAAGUGGGAAACGAUGUGGGAAGGCACAGACAGCCAGGAUGUUGGCUUAGAAGCAGCCAUCAUUUAAAGAAAGCGUAAUAGCUCACUGGUCGAGUCGGCCUGCGCGGAAGAUGUAACGGGGCUAAACCAUGCACCGAAGCUGCGGCAGCGACACUAUGUGUUGUUGGGUAGGGGAGCGUUCUGUAAGCCGUUGAAGGUGUGCUGUGAGGCAUGCUGGAGGUAUCAGAAGUGCGAAUGCUGACAUAAGUAACGAUAAAGCGGGUGAAAAGCCCGCUCGCCGGAAGACCAAGGGUUCCUGUCCAACGUUAAUCGGGGCAGGGUGAGUCGACCCCUAAGGCGAGGCCGAAAGGCGUAGUCGAUGGGAAACAGGUUAAUAUUCCUGUACUUGGUGUUACUGCGAAGGGGGGACGGAGAAGGCUAUGUCAGCCGGGCGACGGUUGUCCCGGUUUAAGCAUGUAGGCGGAGGUUCCAGGUAAAUCCGGUACCUUUUAACGCUGAGGUGUGAUGACGAGGCACUACGGUGCUGAAGUGAUAAAUGCCCUGCUUCCAGGAAAAGCCUCUAAGCAUCAGGUAACACGAAAUCGUACCCCAAACCGACACAGGUGGUCAGGUAGAGAAUACCAAGGCGCUUGAGAGAACUCGGGUGAAGGAACUAGGCAAAAUGGUGCCGUAACUUCGGGAGAAGGCACGCUGAURUGUAGGUGAAGCCCCUGCGGGYGGAGCUGAAAUCAGUCGAAGAUACCAGCUGGCUGCAACUGUUUAUUAAAAACACAGCACUGUGCAAACACGAAAGUGGACGUAUACGGUGUGACGCCUGCCCGGUGCCGGAAGGUUAAUUGAUGGGGUUAGCGGCAACGCGAAGCUCUUGAUCGAAGCCCCGGUAAACGGCGGCCGUAACUAUAACGGUCCUAAGGUAGCGAAAUUCCUUGUCGGGUAAGUUCCGACCUGCACGAAUGGCGUAAUGAUGGCCAGGCUGUCUCCACCCGAGACUCAGUGAAAUUGAACUCGCUGUGAAGAUGCAGUGUACCCGCGGCAAGACGGAAAGACCCCGUGAACCUUUACUAUAGCUUGACACUGAACACUGGUCCUUGAUGUGUAGGAUAGGUGGGAGGCUUUGAAGCGUGGACGCCAGUCUGCGUGGAGCCAACCUUGAAAUACCACCCUUUAAUGGCUGGUGUUCUAACGUAGACCCGU
rnacentral:rRNA from 1 species